CGAGGUAAACUACCCAUAUGUAAUUUUUUUUUUAAAAUCAAAUCCUGGAAAUUUGUUUUCUACAAUUGUGUGUUUUUCACGCUCUUACAGGUUUCAAAGUUGGGGCUUGGAUGCAUGAACCUGAGUUCUGGUUAUAGCUCUCCAGUCUCAGAAGAGGAUGGCAUCUCAAUGAUAAAACAUGCUUUCAGUAAAGGAAUCACUUUCUUUGAUACUGCUGAUGUGUACGGACAAAAUGCUAAUGAAAUUCUUCUGGGAAAGGUUAGAGUCAUUUCUUUGAAUUCUCUUACCUCUUAUAUAAUUCGGACAUAGGUCAAGUGAUAACUUAAGAAUCACAGUCCUGAUGAAAUAUGUUUGUUUAGGAAUUGGUGAAACCUCGUCGGAUUUUUUUGAAUCUUAUUGAAUUAAAAAAAAAAAAAAAAAGAGUACUCCUUCGAUUUCAGGCCUUCAAGAUGUUGCCCAGAGAAAAGGUACAAAUAGCCACAAAGUUUGGGGUUGUAGGACUAAGAGAUAAUGGCGUGAUCGUGAAGGGCACCCCUGAUUACGUGCGCUUGUGUUGUGAAGCUAGCCUGAAGCGACUUGAUGUGGAUUACAUUGAUCUAUAUUAUCAACAUAGAGUGGACACAUCAGUCCCCAUAGAGGAAACCGUGAGCGAUUUUUUUUUUUUUUUUUUUUUUUUUUUGGGCUAUCUGAAUUGUAGAGUUCUGUCCCAAAUUGCAAAAUUUAAAGAAUUAUUUUAGAAACUCUAUUACUUGUCAUGCUAUAGAUUGGUGAAAUGAAGAAGCUGGUGGAAGAGGGUAAAAUCAAGUACAUUGGAUUAUCUGAGGCCAGCCCAGACACAAUUAGGAGAGCACAUGCUGUUCAUCCCAUCACAGCUGUACAAAUGGAAUGGUCCCUCUGGACUCGUGAUAUUGAGGAAGAGAUAAUACCCCUCUGCAGGUUUGUUCUUCUUUCAGUGAAUACUAUCCGCAUUAGUCUUUUCUUCUACAGGCCUUUGAAGAGUGUCUAAGGACCUAUUUAUUUGUUCCAAUCUAGUAUUUUGUACCUAAUGUUUGUAGAAUUUUUUAAAUUUAAUUGCAUGCAUAGAGUAGAUUAGAUUUUCUGUGCAAGUGUAUGCUAAUAAAUACAAGGCUGCCCUUCUGAUACAUUGAGGUGGGCAGGGAACUCGGCAUUGGAAUAGUUCCAUACAGUCCUCUUGGUCAUGGAUUUUUUGGUGGCAAAGCUGUUGUGGAGAGUGUACCUGCAGAUAGCUUUUUGGUACUUUUUCCGAUCAAUGUUUAUCCGCAUCAUUUUGUUUCCUAAGUCAGUACUAUAUAAAAUGUUUUAAACUAGCAAAAGUAGUCUUACAGUUUCUUUAACUGUUUUAUAUAUCGUCGUACAUAUGAAAAUGAUACAUGUAUUUGUUUUAUAAGCAUUUUCUUCCUAGGUUCAAAGGAGAGAACCUGGACAGGAACAAGAGUAUUUAUUUUCGCAUAGAGAACCUUGCCAAAAAGUACAAUUGCACUUCUGCUCAACUAGCCCUAGCAUGGGUUCUUGGACAGGGGGAUGAUGUCGUACCUAUUCCCGGUAACUUCUUUCUUUCGAGUUUUUGAUUCAUGUAUUACCUUGAAGAAGUAUAUAGAGUUUAAAAAACCCAGCGGAUAAAAAGAUAUUACCAGCAAUAUUACUUACUGUUAAGUUGCUUCAAUUUUCAGGGACAACUAAGAUUAAAAACCUUGAUGACAAUAGUGACUCCUUGAGGAUUAAACUUACAAAAGAGGAUCUGAAAGAAAUUUCUGACGCUGUGCCCAUAGAAGAGGUAGCAGGAGACAGAGACCCGGAAGGCUUUGAUAAAGCAUCGUGGAAGUUUGCAAACACACCUCCAAAAGACUGCUAGGUUUCAACUUAAAAUAGUUCUUGAUGCUGCCUAUCUUACUUGGAGCUGGGAUACAAUAGUUUAUUCAAAUAAUGGCAGAUAAAUGCCAAAUUAUCUGUACAAUCUACUACUUGGCUAUCUGCCUAUUUGAUGUUAAACUUUGAUUAUUACGAUCUACUAUAUGUUUGGAAAUUUAGCAUGGCCAAUUUGUGAAAUGAAAAUACGCAUGUUUGAACUUUUCUAAGUUAAAGCUGAAUUCCAAGUUACUAUAAAAUCUUGCCAACUCGCUUUCCUUGAAAAUAAAGAUUGGAAAUAUCCAAAUUUUGGAUUGUAACAAUUUUCCUGGAUUUUACUUCAUCAUUGUAUAGAUAUAUGUUGAAAAAAUUUCAGCCUUUUUGAGUUCCAUGAAUGGGACAUGAAUGAAAUCUAUGAACCAUAUUUUAGCUCAAGCAGUUUCUCAACAAGACCUGGAGGAUACUUUAUUGAAAAUAUAGUUUCUCAACAUAAUACAUUGUCACUGCAACUUGAGUGGUUAAAUGAUAAAAGGUGAAUAUGUGUUGUUCAGAAAUAAGAAUAAUUGCAUAAAUUGUGAAGUUAACAAUGCUAUUUAGGAGGCGAAAUUGACACAUUGAUAAACUUUCAAAUUCCUUUACCAACAAGGCACCAGUGGUCCAGCGGUAGAAUCCCCCCCCCCCCCCCCCCGGCGCGGGUAUGGUAAUCAGCCCCAACGUCGAACAAUUUUUAUUGUUGCCUUCUUUUGAUUAGUUCCAAAUCCUGCUUUAUUUUGUUAGUCCAUGGUACAAAGUACAAAACAGCAACACCAGUAACUCUCUUACGCCCUCCUUUAAUAAGGAUUAAGCUAAGCUACAAAGAGAGGAAAAGCUAACAGCUUUUCCAAAGAUGGCAGAAAAGAACAAAAUCCAAAUUCCAACAGUGAAAUUUGGAUUUCCGAUUUGCAGUUUUAAUUUUUUUCUCUCUGUUUUUUUUUUUCCUUUAAUGCUGAUAAUUCGUUUUCUCUAAUGAUGGUCAGUGGGCCGUGCCGGCACCAAACGUCGGCCCACACAGGCUCGUGGGCUGGCACCGCACGGCCCACUAAUUUGGUGGGUCAUGUUUAUUUUUUUUAUAAGAGUCCGGCACGGCCCACCAGCCUAAUAAUAACAAUAAUAAUAAUAAUAAUAAUUUCAUAGAUCAUAGUAAUAAUUAAUGAAAAAUAAAAUUACAAUUUUAGAAUAACAAUUACAUCUAAUUUUAUUUGAACUACUAAUAUUAUAAUUGCACAUAAACUCUAUUGAAUGAAAAUGUAAUUUUUAAUUUAUCAUAAAAAUAUUUUGUUCAUAAUUUUAUUUUUUUGUGUAUAAAUAUGAAAAAUAUUUCAUUCACAAAUGAAACAUAUCUCCAUUAACUAUUAACUAAGUUAUGAUUUCAUAAAUGAAAUAUUAAUGUCGUAAAAUUUUUUAUUUAUCAUUUAUAAAAUCAUGAUAUUUAUUUAUCCAUUUAAUAAAUUAUAAACAUAAAAAAAAAUUAGAAUAUUUAUUUAAACUAGGACUUAAAUUAAUUUUAAAAAGCCUAUGCUAAAAAAAUAUAUUAAAAAAUUUAAUUUCAAGAUAUUUAUAAAAUCAUGAUAUUUUAUAUUUAUUUUUCAUUAAAAAAUUUUAUUUUGAUAUACUUUGACCCACGGGCCGCGUGCUUAGCCCACUAAUGAAGCGUGCUUAUUACGUGCCUUUUUCGCGUGCCGUGCUUUGGCCCAUAUUUAAUCGUGCUGUGCUUUUAAGACCCGCGUGCCUAAAAUUCUAGGCUCGGCACGACCCACGUGCAUGUCAUGCCGUGCCUCGUGCCCUACCGAAACGUGCUCGUGUUGUGCCGUGUCUUGUGCCACCCGGCCCAUUUGUCAUCUCUAGUUUUCUCUGACUGUGUUUUUUUGCUUUCACAGGUUUCAAAGUUGGGGUUUGAAUGCAUGAGCCUAAGUGGAGGUUACAGUUCUCCCGUCUCUGAAGAGGAUGGCAUCUCAAUAAGAAAGCAUGCUUUCAACAAAGGAAUCACUCUUUUUUUUUUUUAACUAAUUAAGCAUCAGGUUACUGUAUUACAUAGACAUUUACAAUUGCUAUGACAGUAGAUCAUUACACUGAUAUUUACAAUUAAAUAUAUAAUUGGGACUUACAUUAUUACAUUAUUAAUUUUAUGAAAUACAUGCCAAACAAAUAAUCCUUAUGGAAGAACGGUGUCUUUACUCCACUCGCAUUUCAAAAUGGAGAAAUACUUCACAAAUAAUUUUCACAAAAUUAUGUUUAAUUGAGGGAUGUUGAGUUCAUGGGGAUUCGAACCAUUGCCCUCAUAGUUAUGCUUAACUUUAAAGGCCAAUGGUUCACCACUGGGCUAAAGCCCAAGUGGCAGGAACCACUUUCUUUGAUACUGCUUAGUGCUGAUAGAUAUGGACCUUACACUAACGAAAUUCUUCUUAGAAAGUUAAUAAUUAUGAAAAUGGCAUAAAAUGAAAUUAUCUUAUCAUGGAAUAACAUUUUAAAAGAAAAUCCAAAAUCCAAAUAGCUUAUAUUUAUGUUAAAAUUCUAAAUAAAAAAAUCAUAAAUUAGUAACUAAAUUAACUUAAUAAGAAUAACAUUGUCGUAUUACACACAAAAAAAAAAUCAUUUUGAUGAAUAUUUAAUGUUUGUAAAAUAAAUUAAAUUGAUUAGGGCAAUAUGGACUUUUUAUUAUAAAAUAACCUAAAUUGUUAGGGAAAUAAUUAACUGUAGCAUUGUUAAAUUUAAAGGGGUAAGUAGUAUUUCUAACUUAUUGAGUUAUUUCCAUAAUAAUAACCUAAAUAUGUUUGUUUAAGGUUUUGGCAAAUAGCUACUCUUAGACAUUACUAAGAAUAUCUGAAGAUGAAAAUCAAAUCACUGUUAAAAUUACCCCUGAGAAGCCACGAAGUUUGGGACUACAGAAAUAGAUACCCCUGAGUAUGUGCUCUGCCUUGUUGUGAAGCAAGCUUGCAGCACCUUGAUUUGAUUAUUAAUUGGCUUGACUUCCCUCUAAUUUUGGAUAAUUUCUUUAUAUGCUUUUCACUAAAAACAAAUAAAUUUACAAAGAAUACAUGCAUAGAUAACUUUCUUUCAAAUUUAAAAUGAAAAAUAAAUUGCGAAAAGAAAUUGUGAAUCUGAUGAUUCUUUUAAUAAAAAAAUUUACUGAUUAUAUGGUCAAAUCGAGACUGUAAAUUUCUCUCCUAAGUUCUACAUGACAUUUUGCAAAGUUUAGGGGAUAUUUCUUAACUUUUUAAAUAUUUUGAACUUGUUUUCAAUUACACUGAACUUUAGGACACUUGUCAAAACUUAUAAGUUCAUGAUUAAUCAUGAUAAAGAUAAAGAGCACGUGUCCCAGCUUAACACUUUUAGUCAUUCUGCUCAUUGUUGACGUUAGAGUCCACUGUCUCUCUACUUAUUGAAACUUGAAAGACACCCAAAACAAAGAAACCAAAACUACAGCUUCAAAAAUGGCAGAAGAGAAACUCCAAGUUCCAAGAGUGAAACUUGGUACCCAAGGCCUCGAGGUAAACUACCCAUAUGUAAUUUUUUUUUUUUAUCAAAUCCUGGAAAUUUGUUUUUCAUGGUCUUACAGGUUUCAAAGUUGGCGCUUGGAUGCAUGAACCUGAGUUCUGGUUAUAGCUCUCCAGUCUCAGAAGAGGAUGGCAUCUCCAUGAUAAAACAUGCUUUCAGUAAAGGAAUCACUUUCUUUGAUACUGCUGAUGUGUACGGACAAAAUGCUAAUGAAACUCUUCUGGGAAAGGUUAUGGUCAUUUCUUUGAAUUCUCUUACCUCUUAUAUAAUUCAGACAUAGGUCAAGUGGUAACUUAGGAACCACAGUCCUGAUGAAAUAUGUUUGUUUAGGAAUUGGUGAAUAAUUACUUUUGUAUCAUAGAAGGGAAACCUUGUCAGAAUUUUUAGAAUUUUAUUGAAUUAAAAAAAAAAAAAAAGAGUACUCCUUCGAUUUCAGGCC
rnacentral:lncRNA from 1 species